ACUGGGCGUAAAGGGCACGCAGGCGGUGACUUAAGUGAGGUGUGAAAGCCCCGGGCUUAACCUGGGAAUUGCAUUUCAUACUGGGUCGCUAGAGUACUUUAGGGAGGGGUAGAAUUCCACGUGUAGCGGUGAAAUGCGUAGAGAUGUGGAGGAAUACCGAAGGCGAAGGCAGCCCCUUGGGAAUGUACUGACGCUCAUGUGCGAAAGCGUGGGGAGCAAACAGGAUUAGAUACCCUGGUAGUCCACGCUGUAAACGAUGUCGAUUUGGGGGUUGAACUUUAAGUUUGGCGCCCGUAGCUAACGUGAUAAAUCGACCGCCUGGGGAGUACGGCCGCAAGGUUAAAACUCAAAUGAAUUGACGGGGGCCCGCACAAGCGGUGGAGCAUGUGGUUUAAUUCGAUGCAACGCGAAGAACCUUACCUACUCUUGACAUCCAGAGAACUUUCCAGAGAUGGAUUGGUGCCUUCGGGAACUCUGAGACAGGUGCUGCAUGGCUGUCGUCAGCUCGUGUCGUGAG
rnacentral:rRNA from 1 species